CGCUUCGCUGCACACACAUCUUCAACUGGUUCUCUCUCCCAUGGGGCUGGCUGGCUCGCUGAUCUUUAUGCGUUGCACGUGUGUGUGGCGGCGAUCGGAGUGCUGUUGGUGUUGGUGUUAAAAAGUGAUUUACUGUGCCAGCCCUCACAUGUUCGGGAUGCACUCGGAGUCGAGUCGAGUCGCCCCUGAUGAACACAUGUCGACAACAUUCGUGGGAGUAGGAUUUGAAGAAGGAUCCUUCACGGAUCCUUGUCAUAAGUCAACUGCACCAGAAAAACCAUCUCAUCUCAAUUCGGUUUAAUUGCAGCCAACACAUGUGCGAUGUGUUUACUUUGAUUUUUCACGCUCCAUUCGGAACUGAACGGAAGGGAAGGAAAGGGAGGAGAAGGCCCCAGACAAAUAUAGAUGUCCAGUGAACAUGAUCUUUGUUCGGUUGUGGGAUAAUUACUGUCUGGCAUUGUCCGUGCGACAUUGCUGGCACGGAUCGGUUAACCAAAGCAUCGAUUACACCAAAUUAGUCGAGUUCAUUCAUAAAUUCAUGAAAUUCACAUAUCCACCAGAGUCUGAGUGACUAUUUCCGCAUUCCAAUUAGAGCUAUAUAUAUAUAGUAUAUUUCUAAUCCAACUGCCAAUCUCAACCACAACUGCUUCCGCCGAAUUUUAGUUCCCUGAUAGUGCGUACAUCGAAUUCGGAUGAAGCCCCAACCCCACAAGAAACUAUGAGUAACGGAAGGAACUCGAUGUGGAUGCCUGAAGCAGACUGCAAAAUGCUUUGAGUGAUUUCUUUCAUUUCGCUCGAGGAAAUAUCUUGUGAAUGUGAAUGUAAAUCGGCUCGCCAGGGAAAGUCGGAACCCAGUUAGCUAAUAAGUCGCAACGCAAAAGGAAUGAAUUUAUCCGCAUUUCAAGGCGAGAGCAAACGAUUCAAGAAAUGUAGAGCGCACUUGAUAUUAUACAAAUUCGCACAUAGCAUAGUAGUUAUACUCGUAUGUAUUGUAUAUACGAAUAUGAAACAAGUGAAAUAAAAAGCAUUCAUUCAUUAAUGUA